rnacentral:rRNA from 1 species
AUACGGAGGAUCCGAGCGUUAUCCGGAUUUAUUGGGUUUAAAGGGUGCGCAGGCGGGAGAUUAAGUCGGCGGUGAAAUGUUGCAGCUCAACUGUAAAAGUGCCUUCGAAACUGGUUUCCUUGAGUGUAGAUGAAGUAGGCGGAAUUUGUGGUGUAGCGGUGAAAUGCAUAGAUAUCACGAGGAACUCCGAUUGCGCAGGCAGCUUACUAAACUACUACUGACGCUCAGGCACGAAGGCGUGGGGAUCAAACAGGAUUAGAUACCCUGGUAGUCCACGCAGUAAACGAUGAUUACUAGCUGUUUGCGAUACAAUGUAAGCGGCUGAGCGAAAGCGUUAAGUAAUCCACCUGGGGAGUACGUUCGCAAGAAUGAAACUCAAAGGAAUUGACGGGG